GACGAACGCUGGCGGCGUGCUUAACACAUGCAAGUCGAACGGAAAGGCCCUGCUUUUGUGGGGUGCUCGAGUGGCGAACGGGUGAGUAACACGUGAGUAACCUGCCCUUGACUUUGGGAUAACUUCAGGAAACUGGGGCUAAUACCGGAUAGGAGCUCCUGCUGCAUGGUGGGGGUUGGAAAGUUUCGGCGGUUGGGGAUGGACUCGCGGCUUAUCAGCUUGUUGGUGGGGUAGUGGCUUACCAAGGCUUUGACGGGUAGCCGGCCUGAGAGGGUGACCGGCACAAUUGGGCCUGAGAUCGGGCCAGGAUCCCACGGGGAGGAAGAAGGGGGGAAUAUGGCAAAUGGGGCGGAAGCUGGAUGCAGAAACGCGGGGGGGGGGAGGACGGCCUUCGGUUGGAAACCGGCUUUGGCCGGGGCGGAAGCGUGAGGGAGGUUAAUGGGUAAAGAAGAACCGGUUAAUUCGGUG
rnacentral:rRNA from 1 species